CACCGACCGCGCACCAGGUGGUGGAAGUGAGGAGCGGGCUGGUUGUGGCGCCCCGAGGCCAAGCUGUGUCGAGGCAAGUGCGACGCGUGAGAAAACCGUAGCUGGAAAAUGACUUAGAGUCAACAGCAGGUGGCAUUGUUAGCAAAGGUUGUGCUUUUGGGAACUAAUCAGCCUGGAGAGGAGCAUCUUUCCAAUCUGAGGCAAGGUCAUCUAAAAAAAUCAUACUCAGCAAGUCAUAUGACAUUUCAGCAGGGAAUGACAGAUUGUUGAAGAGUCUACUAGUUAAUAAGGAAAGAAGAGAAGAGGCAAGGAAGAAAAGAACUGUGUGACUAAGCUUAAUGUAUUAUCAAGGAAACAAUGCACUUAUCAACUCAAUGACUGCAUACUCUGUACCCGACGUCUUACCAAUCUGCAUUACCAGUGAAACUAUGCCAGGUUCUGCUGCUAAGAUUGAGGUGAUCUUUUGUCAUUUCCCAAGGAUCUGUUUCUCUAAGGAGCAUAGUGAUGGAUUAAACAAUGAUAUAUUAAUGGCCAUUCCCUCAGCAUUUUAAAGUUCUCUUAGGCUAGCACUCUGAGAUCAGGUUUUUAUUGUUGCUGUUUAUCACCUUGGCUUGAGUGGGUGAAUUUUCAGAGGCAGCCUUAUAUGAUAGCUCUUACUUCACAGGCCGGGGACCAG